rnacentral:rRNA from 1 species
GAUGAACGCUGACAGAAUGCUUAACACAUGCAAGUCGAUGGGGAAGUGGUGCUUGCACCCUGGCAACCAUGGCGGACGGGUGAGUAACGCGUAAGGGACUUACCUGCAGGACUGGGAUAACAGGGGGAAACUCCUGACAAGACCGGAUAAUGUCAUGGAGCUGCAUGGCUUUAUGAUGAAAGGAGACGCCUGCGGAGAGCCUUGCGUCCUAUUAGCUAGUUGGUGAGGUAAUGGCUCACCAAGGCGAAGAUAGGUAGCCGGCCUGAGAGGGUGGACGGCCACAAGGGGACUGAGAUACGGCCCUUACUCCUACGGGAGGCAGCAGUGGGGAAUAUUGGACAAUGGGGGCAACCCUGAUCCAGCAAUUCUGUGUGCACGAAGAAGGUUUUCGGAUUGUAAAGUGCUUUCAGCAGGGAAGAAGUAAGUGACGGUACCUUCAGAAGAAGCGACGGCUAAAUACGUG